AUGCAAGAAGUGCCUUUCACCUCCUGCCAUGAUUCUGAGGCCUUUCCAGUGACAGGAAGUAUUAUUUCUGCUGCUUUGUGCAUCUGUGUAUGGCUGCUCAGGUUGUGCACCACAAAACUCCACAAAGGUCAUUUGCAUAAUGGUACAUUGCAAUGAGGCAGAAGGGUAAGUCACCACUCGAUAAAGUAUAAAGCUUGUGUUCUGCUUAAAUGAAUACUAAAUGUUAUUCAAGAUUCCUGGAAUUAUGCCAGUUGCUUUCUGAUUUAUAGUGAGUCAAUGGUAGGAUAAAUAAUAAAGAAGAAUGAGAUCAAAUGCAUACACAUACAUAAGCUUUAACAUUAAUUUAGAGAGUUUCAAUAACAUGCAGUAAGAUAUGAUUGGAGUAUUAAUUCAGCUUUUGCAAUAAAAUAUCUUCUAGUUAUGUGGGAGCAUGCAUAAAAAUACUUUCAGAAAAAUUUGUAAUACUUCUACUUAUCUUGUUCGUUUAUGCAGUACAAUUCAUUCACAAAUAUAUUUUUUAGAUUUUAUCAUCUCAAAUUUGUCUUUAAUCAUUUAAUAUACAUUUAUUUUAUUCCAGCUUAUUAGGCAUGAGAUAUAUUUGAAUUUCUAGUAUGAUUCAGCUUGUCUAGAAAUGUAUGAAUAUAUACGAUAAAAAUGUAUGGUAUGAUAUACAGGAGAGAUAGGUUAUGAUUGCAAGCUAUGUCACAACUAAUUUUACCCGUGAAUAUUUCACCUUAAUUCAAAUGAAAUAUAAAAAAAUGAAGACAAAUUUGGAAUCAUAUGAUUAAAAAUAAUGGCUCAAUUCUUGUCAUUAUUUGCCUUAAAUAAGAUGAUUUUAUAAUCUUAAUUUCUUCUUAAACAGUAAAAACUCGAAAUAACAGGGUAUACAAUCUUCAAAAAGAGGGCAGCAAAGUCAAAGUGGAACCCCUCUGUUUUUCCCUCCUCUGGAGAGUGAGCCAGCAAUGUCACUUUCCUUGAGGCCUCUUCCUAGGUGAAGAAAUUCUUUUUUUUUUUUUUUUGAGACGGGAGUUCGCUCUUGCUACCCAGGCUGGAGUGCGAUGGCGCUAUCUUGGCUCACCGCAACAUCCGCCUCCUGGGUUCAGGCAAUUCUUCUGCCUCAGCCUCCCGAGUAGCUGGGAUUACAGGCACGCGCCACCAUGCCCAGCUAAUUUUUUUAUGUUUUUAGUAGAGACGAGGUUUCACCAUGUUGACCAGGAUGGUCUCGAUCUCUUAACCUCGUGAUCCACCGACGUCGGCCUCCCAAAGUGCUGGGAUUACAGGCGUGAGCCACCCGUCCGGCCAGAAGAAAUUCUUUUAAAAAAUGAUGGAUGCAGCAAACCACCCUGGCAUGUAUAUACGUAUGUAACAAUCCUGCACGAUCUGAACAUGUACCCCAGAACUCAAAGUAUUUUAAAAAAUUGCCUUAAAACUUGAAGCUGUUCAAUCAUAAUAUAAAUGUCUUAAUACAUUUCUGUUAUGGGUUAGCAUUGUUUUACUUCACUUACCACGUUAUAUAUGUACAUA
rnacentral:lncRNA from 1 species